rnacentral:tRNA from 1 species
GCCCAGCUAGCUCAGUCGGUAGAGCAACGCCCUGAAAAGGCGUGUGUCGGCAGUUCGAUUCUGUCGCUGGGCACCA